GACGGUUCUACAGAUUUUUACAGGACGUGGUUAGAAUAUAAACAAGGGUUUGGAGAUCCUUCUAAAAACUACUGGAUUGGGAAUGACGCAAUUUAUGAGCUGACAAAGAACAAAGACCAGGAACUCCGGGUUGAGCUACAAAGAUUUAAUGGCGUUAAAGCAUACGCUCACUUUUCCACAUUUUAUAUCACUGAUGAGGAUAGUAAAUACAAUCUGAGUGUGUCAGGGUAUAAUGGAACAGCAGGUGACGGUUUGUAUUAUCACAAUGGAUGUAAAUUUAGCACUAAGGAUCAGGACAAUGAUAAGAGUAAUACUAGACACUGUGCUACAGAAUAUCACGGAGGCUGGUGGUACAAAUUCUGUUACAUUGCAAACCUGAACGGACUGUACGCACAAUCUGCCAUUCAAAAUAAUUCGACAAAUCCUGUAUGGAAUACCUUCAUAUAUGGAGAAGCGCUGCAAAAGACUGGAAUGAUGAUCAGGC